rnacentral:lncRNA from 1 species
UCCAGAGACAGAGGAAAGGCUGAAGGUUGAGUUGAUUACCAGUAGCUCACGAUAUAAUCAUUCAUGCCUACAUAACACAGCUUUCAUAAGAACCCAAUAGGACAGGGUUCAAGGACCCUCUAAAGAAUGCCACACCUAUAGAGGCAUGGAAACUCUUUGCCACUUUCAUCUGACUAUUGAUCUAUAUCCUUUGUAAUGCCUCUUAUAAGAAAUGGGCAGAUUCUAGCAGUGUUUGUGAGAAAAACUGAUGGAUCCUGCAGAUUAACUAUGGACAGCCAAAUAUUGAGUAAAGUGAUGUCUACAACAGCAUCAGCUAUGCCUGAUAUGGUGUUAAUUCACAUUGUGAAGUUCCAAAAUCAGAAGAUGAUACAGAAAGAUUGCUCUGGUUGCCUGGUUUCUGAAGAAAUCGUGUACCCUGUCUGGAUAGUGUCUUACUUCCUAUCCACAAAGUUGUGAAAUAAUCUGGAAUUAAAUGGCAACCUAAACAACCCUAGAGUUGCCUGAACACAGAGCCAUUGCUGUGUUGAUCAUUAUAGCAGUCCUCAAUAGGAAAAAGAUGCCUCCCUGGUCGACCUUCCUGGAAAGUAUGCAUAUCAUUACUGCUUAGAUUUUGUUGGAGAGAAAUCACACUACCAUCAAAGACAACGGGUCAAAAAGAAUGCCGUCCUAAGCUGAGAAGCCAUCUUCCUAACGACAGCCAUGUAAUAUGAAAGGGAAAAACACACUGUUAUUGAAGAACUUAUCAGCUAUGUCACAUCUUCCACACAAAUACUCAGGAAAGUUAAAAGAAAAUUUUACCUCGGACACAGUUGAUGUACCUCAGUCUUGUACAAAACUUAGAACUCACUAAGUCUGAAAUAAGACUUUAAACUCUCUCUGAGGAUUGCUAAAGUCCUAUUGCAUGCUUUAAGAUGCCUUGCGUUUGGUGAAUUGAAGCCUGAUAUGUCAACAUACUCUCUGUAAACACAGCAGCACAGAGGGCAAAGAAACACUUAUCCAGCACCACAGCUAGGACAAAAGGAAUUAUUUUGACAGUAAAUGGACUUGCAGCUUAAGUUAAGUGCAUUAAUAUUGGGAUGGUAUUAACUAUACAAAAUUGUUUCUAAGCAAAGGUGACCAGAU